rnacentral:lncRNA from 1 species
AUGAACAAAAUCACCUGGUUAUGUGUUUUUGGACUGGUCAUAGCGGCUACACUUCCCACUAGUUGGCAAAUGGCUAUUGAAUCACGGUUGGUUUCUGAAGAGGAAAAUGGAGCUGAACACUUCCUUGCCAAAGCUAAGCGACACAAUGAAGGAACAUAUGGCAGUGACUACACUGAACUCAUGGACAGGGAGAAAGCAAGGGAAUUUGUGCAAUGGCUUAUUAAUCAAGGCGCUACAGUUCCUCCAGGUUUAGUUUGAACUCUGGAGCAGACGUUGUCUGAGCUUUGAUGGCCACCUUCAACAAACAGCAAGAGUUUCCUUUUCUUUAGUCCAAAUUGGAAAAUGAUAAAUACUUAAGUGAUAAAUAAAAUGAGGCCAUCAAAACA